rnacentral:lncRNA from 1 species
GCCCCGAGCACCGCUGCCCCGGGCACCGCAGCCCCCGCGUGCCCCAGGAGCCCGCAACCCUCAAGCCGGGCCUGCGCCCGCGCAUCGCGUCCUCGGCGGGGUUCCGAGCUGGGAAGACGCUCCGAGGAGCCCAAGCCACGAAGCAUGUGGCGGACACCGCGCUCCCUCGCUGGAAGCCCGAUCUGCCCCCCGCCGCGUCCGCGCUCCUAGGGCUCCCGCAGCGACGCUCGACCCUCCCUGCCACCGCUGGGGACCCAGAGUUUCGUCCUAACGCAGUCGCACACCCACAUUCUCUGGAUGGCGGGACUCCACCGGCAGCGGUGUCUCUUUCCCCUUACCCAGCACUCGGGCAGCCGGUAGAGCGCGUCUCGCGGCGGCUGCAGAGAGCAGCUCCGCCACCUGCUCCCCGGCGCGCCAGCGGCUCAUUAGCCCCCUUCGCCACACCGCUCCUUCUGCUCCCACCCUACACACACACCUUCCCAAAAAGUACGGACCUCCUCAGCUGUGCGUACUCUGCAGAUGAAGGACUCCCGGAGUUCGAGGCACGUCCCGGGGCGAUGAGUUACCGGCGCGUCCGCCUCCAACUCCAGACCCUACAGCAGGCCAGGAAAGACCCCCAGAAGGGCGCUUCUCCGCGUCGGCCGGCCGGACCCCGGGAGGAUGGGGGAAGAGCAAGCGCCGCGGCCACAACCUGCUUUCUCAUUCAAAUCCUCACGCUGCACUGGAGCCCCCUCCCUCCCCGCCCCGCAGCUCCCGAGGAAAUCAGAACUGGAGCUCGGGGGAGUGGACUGGAGCGCCCGCGCCUUGCUGGCCCCAAGGGCUGGGCGGACCAGCGGGGGCUGGAUCUGGCCCCUCCGCCUACUCCCCCUGCGGGCUCCGAGUAGACAAGGGCAAGGAGCACUGGGAUUGAAGCACCUUCUCCCCGCACCUGGCAAAUUUAAACAAUUCCCAAAUCCAGGGAAUCCCCCUUGAUGCUCUACAUGGGGCUGUAGUCGGGAGAGCCUGGGUGGUGGGAGGGCAUAGGAGUGCGGAAACAAAGUUGGAGGUGAGAGGAGCUGGAGCGGGACUUAAGCAGCUCCCAGCAAAGUGUCCGAAUCACACGCGCGCGCGCGCCGGUCACCGCCCCUCCCGUUUUUUUUAACCAUUCUAAGAAAAUAGAAUGCUUAUGCUGUUAAAUCAAGGAGAUCUAUUUUGAGUAAAGUGUAGCUAAAAUUGAGGAAAGGGAUGUAGGUGGUAUACACUUUGUUAUUUACCCCCUGGUCUUUUCUUCCGUGCCACUCCUUGGCCAAAUAAUCAGAUUGAUUUAGUAACUGGCACACUCGAGCAGCCAGCCGUGGGGCACAAGAGCACACCGGUGGGGGAUGGGGGCCGGGGAAGCUUGCUGAGCAGGCGCUCGGUGUUCACGAAAAGAUGAAAUCUGCUGAACGUACCGGGGCAAAUGCUGGAACGCUGAGUCGCUGGCCUGGGUAGCAGCGCUGUGAUCCGGCUUCGAGAUUCCAGGAUUUGCAUUUAUCAGCCUUCAUUCAACCUGCCCUAUUGUUAGUUCAAAGCCUGGCUGGGAGGGACUGAGGACGUUGCUUCUCGCUCACCUUUCAAUUUAAAAUUCUCCAAUAAGAAGGUCCAAGGAAAGCUGGCAGCAAGGGGUUGGCAGGGAUUUUCUGGGCUUAGUGACAACGCAAACCAAAGUCAUUUUCUUUUUUCACACAUGAAUUUGCUCAGAAAGUUACAAACUAGUGCCUAAGAUUGGAGGGCCGGGCUUGACUGCCAGUCCACUUUGACAGACAGUUGGGGUAGGGGUGGAUAGGGUUUCACCUUUUCAUCCCACUUAGCGGACGCCAUAGAAACAACCCAUUUGUAUUAUUCAGUUCAACAGAGGCAAUUACAAUGUCACAGCAAAGCACCAUGGGCCAGAAAAAACUUUAUCCUGAAAGCAAUCCUGAACUCUCAGGAAAAAAGAAAAAUGCCGCCGCCGGCAGGAGCCACUUGAAUUUCUUCCUGCUUGAGUGAGGAAAAUAUCAAUUUAGGGGAGAAAAAAAAUAUACAUACCAUCCAUAGAAAGAAACCUCCUAAAUUUCUUUCUUUUUUUCUUUUUUAUCAUGCCCACGCACAACCCCCAAUUUAUAAAAAAUUAAGUAGGACUGGGGCUAUAACUGCUUAGUAUGCUCUGAGGCCGGGGGCUCAACCCCCAGCACCAAAAAAAGAAAUUAAGUAAAUGAUUCUCUGCCUCCAAAUUGCUUUUUGUUGUGUAGACAACCGCUUUUUAAGGACCUGUUUUACUGGUAAUCUCCAUGGUGAUUAGGAAAGCCAAAAAAAAAAAAAAAAAGACAGAUAGCAAGAUAACCCCUCAUCCACCACAGCUAUCUACCCCAGCCUCCUGUGUUUGUCUUUGUGGAACUGAAAACACACAUAUGUUAAAAUAAAGUCAAAC